ensembl:lncRNA
UGCGGAUGCAGCAGGUAAACAAACCAGCCCGGCCCGCCAGGGGCUUUCCCUGAACAAGCGGCAGCCCUAGUUUGAGAACCACUGGCAUAGACCAUUUGUGAAACUCAGUCAUGUCAUAUUGAUACUUCACAUAUUUGAUAGGAUAUCAAAUUAGUACACUCUGCCACCGUCAUGUAAAUAACCUACUACUGCAAUUUGUCCCCAUUAGAUCAACAGGCAACUUGAUGCCUGACAGCUAUACAAAGCAAAGCAGAGCGUCAAAAAUGGUAGUCUAACAAUAUGAAAGGGAGGGAAAGAAUUGGAUGCGGAAGGAUAAGGAAGAACCAGCAGAUGAGCCAAUGGGAAGCAGAUUGUGUGAACACAGAAGGAAGAUUGGCAAGUACAUGGUAAACCAUGGCAGUGUGAGGAAGUGCCUUUUUAAAAAAGAAAAAUUGUCCUUGUCUGAGAGAGAGAGAGAGAGAGAGAGAGAGAGAGACUGGCAAGGUAAAGGAGAAGAGGUCAUGGAGACAACUGCACCACAGUUUACAUGGAAGUAGAGAAUGAGAAGACAGAAACAGCAGCCAAGUCCCCGCAAAUUAAAAUUCAUCUUCAAGGCCUCCUCAAACCAAAAAGUUGCAAGGAACAGCCCAAGACAAAAGUAGAAUUCUGUAAGCCUAAAAGACACUGGUAACAUCCACAAGACAACAGGAAGAAAGGAUAGCAAUGCUGCUCUUAUCGCUAAGAUUUUAAGAGCGUUUGCACUAGUUACAGCCCUCUUAAACCCUUGCCAUUGUCCACCUAAGAAUCCCAAACUGGUUCUCUCCAGACAGGAGUCUGUGAUAAGAAAGAAAGGGGAGGCUUGAAACAGAUUUGAUAAGUCUAAAGCAUGUCAUUGCCUAAGGAACAGCAUCCUCAGUUCUGUCUAUUCGGAGGCUUACGAUAUACAUUAAGAAUAGCUUGUCACCGGCUAUUUGAAAGAAUCAUGCUUAUUACAUUCUCUCCUGGAAGAAAUCAUAUUCCAGCUACAGCAUCAGAGUAACUCCAAUUAUGCUGAUGUUUUGGGGUCCAGAUGGUGUGGCUAAGAUGACAGUCAUUUUACCUUUAUAAUACACUGUGCAGUGAAUGACAGUGUAAAUUACAAAGACAAAAUGACUCAUCUACACCAUCCCAAGAGGCCACCUGUUACAAAACAGUGGUAAAUGUAAAGAUGUGGAGGUUGAGAGAAAGAUUGAGCCCAUGUAUUAGAAGUCUGCCAUGGCUUCUUUUGCUUGUGUAUUAAUUUUUCAUGUUAACCUCAAAUUCUAUUAAGCUAGUUGUGUUUACACUCGUUUCACAUGGUACCAAAAAUAACCCAAGGCAAUUACCUUUGUUUACAGGAGCUAAUGAAAAAAGAGUUUUCAAUGUCCGUUUUGCCUGGCUUCAAAGCUUCUUUGCAAUUGAACACCACCUCCAACAAGUGCCAAGUUGUGCUUUUUAGUUUGGUUUACAUUACACAGGGAUGAAUCUAUUGUCUCCAUCCUAUGGGAUAAAAGAGUAAUCUUUACCCAACAGAAAAGAGGAGCAUUUUAUUCUUAGUCUAUCAAUGUUGAUUCUCAAAAAAAAAAAUAAAAAAGUAAGUAGGUAAAGAGGGCCCA